UACAAAUUCAAAUACAAAUUCAAAAUCAAAACAAAUAAAUAAAAAUUACAUUAAUUAAUUUAAAAAUUACAAAAUAGUCCCUAAAAAAUCCAGAAAUUGCAGGGAAGGACUUCUGGGGGCUGUGUGAACAGUUCCGGCGCGUGGAUCCACGCACCACCGCCACUGGCGGCGCGUGGGUUCACGCGCCGCCGUGAGAAAGAAGCU
rnacentral:lncRNA from 1 species